rnacentral:ribozyme from 1 species
UGUCCAGUAACUCCUAUCCCUACCUUCCCGUGGUGCCGCCUGGGGUACUAGGGUGGG